UACGGGGGGGGUAAGCGUUGUUCGGAAUUACUGGGCGUAAAGGGCGCGUAGGCGGCCUGCUAAGUCGAACGUGAAAUCCCUGGGCUCAACCCAGGAACUGCGUCCGAUACUGGUUGGCUUGAAUCCGGGAGAGGGAUGUGGAAUUCCAGGUGUAGCGGUGGAAUGCGUAGAUAUCUGGAGGAACACCGGUGGCGAAGGCGACAUCCUGGACCGGUAUUGACGCUGAGGCGCGAAAGCCAGGGGAGCAAACGGG
rnacentral:rRNA from 1 species